GGAAGAGAGGCGAUGGCAAGAUGUUGGCAUAGCUGUUGAGCACAGUGUCCUGCUAUGCCUCCAUGUUGCCAUUGCCCUCC
rnacentral:pre_miRNA from 1 species